UGGAAGAUUGUGGCAGCGUGAAUGGAGAAAAGAAUUUGUCAGAGGUAUGGAGUGAGUAAUGAAGCAAUUAAUAUGAUGUAUAAAUGGAGUAGCGGCCAAGGUAAUAGAGGCUAUAAAUUGGCAGCCAUCUUGGCCGAUUGAGAAGCAGCGAGGGAGGGAGAUCAGAUUGGGAGUUGUGGCCGAGAGCAUCAAAGCAAGAGAGAGAGAGAGAGAGAGUUGGAAGGAAGAUGGGCCGCGGCCAUGGCAGCCGCGGCAGUAAGCUGGGCGACGCGAGCUCUAAGCUGCUAUGCAGCACAGGGGUGAUCGGGUAGCUCGCGAAGGAGCUUCCAGCAAGGAGCAACGGCGACCUUCGAGCUCGGAGGCGGUUGAAGUUGGCGCGGCCAUGGCAGCCAUGGCCGCAACCAACUGAAACAGGGCAGCUACCAGCCGCGGCCAACGGCAGCCGCGGGCAGCUCCAGCGGUGUGCGGGUGCGGGGUCAAGGCAACCUUGUGCGGUGGCGCGCGGUGGUGGCGGAGCAGCUGGAGGGGUCGAUCAUGGCCGGCUGGAGGCGGCCAAGGCAGCAAUCGAGUUGCUGUUGCAGAGGCAGAGGAGCGAGGGCCGCGAGCAGCGGGUCGCGGCGGAUCGGGGCAGUCGGAGGUGGUCGUUGGGGCGACCGGUGGCAAGCAACCACGACAGUAGGCGACGACAAGGCUGGCUGCUCGCGGGCGGAGGCAGCUGGUACGCGCAUGGCAGCAAGCCGCGUGCAGGAAGGAGAAGGAGAAGGAAGAAGAAGAAGAGGAAGAAGAAGAGGAGGAAAAAGAAGAAGAAGAAGAAGAAAGAAGAAAAGAAAAGAAGAAGAAGAAGAAAAAAGAAAGAAAAGAAGGAAGAAGAAAAGGAAGUUGCAGGCAUGGCAGGGGCGGGAGGAGGAAGAAGAUGAAGUGGAGAAAAAAAGAAAAAAAAAAAGAAAAAAGAAAAGAAAAUGAGGAGAAAAAGAAAGAAAAUGAAGAAAAAGAAAAGAAAAUUUAGAAAAAUGCUGAAAAGUCCUAGAAAAAUCCUGAAAAAAAUAGGAAAUGAAGACGUAAUGAUAUCCCGGAGAUUUUGGUGAGAAAAACAGCCCGGGCAUGCGUUUCAAGGAUAUGACACGCAUACCGAGGAAACCGGAGAUGCUAAGUCAAGGAUGCUUUGAGGCUGAAGUUGAAGAGACUUGUGCAAAUUUUGAGGUUGGCACGCAAAUCGAGGCGAUGCACAAGGCAAGGCACGGAUAUCGAGGUAGCCCGAUAAGCUUGAAAAGUUGGGACUUGCAGAGAUGAUUUCGAGAUUGGUGAUAUGUAGUGACGCGAGACGUCAAGAAGCAAGUAAAUGUACCAUGUGCAGGGCAUCUUUAAGUCUCGAGGUUGAGCAAAAGUGCAUUUGGCACGUAAAUCAAGAACGGGCACGCAUCUCGAGGAAUCUCAAAAAAUAGUCCAAGGUUCGACCAGCAGCGCAAAAGGAAAAGAAAUAGCAGAAGGGUAGAUUUAUGUUGCCGCAUGUGGCACACUUAUCAUGUCUUUUAUUAUGUAUGAUGUAUUAAAUGAUGUAAACCCUAGCAUGUUUUGAUUAUAUUUGAGGCAUUCAGUUAAUAUAUUGGGAGACAUCAUCAUGUAUUUCGUUUGGAGAACUUUUGGAACGAUUUCAUAUAUUAAGUGAUGUAAUAUGUUUACGCACUAUAUCAGGUUCGAUCAGUCUUCCGUAGUCGCUAUUUUAUUGCCUGUCUUAACUGUCUAUUUAUUGAAUUUGUUUAGUUGAGAAGGCAAGACUUGGAAUUUGGGAUUUUAUGGUUCUUAGAAAUUGAUUGGAUAAAAAAAAAAAUAUUCCCAAAAUUCUAAGUAGAAGCAACGCUCCGAAAAACGGGUCGUUACACAGGUGAUGUCGAUGAAUUUGAAUCCGUCGUGUUUGACAACCAUCAUCAGCACUGAGCAUCGACGAAAUCCAAAGCUAUCAAUGUGGGUGAAUUAGAUUAUUGUUUUCUAGAUUCUGUAAUGAUAUUGUACCCCUUGAAUAUUCUAUGAUUGUUUUCUUAGAUGUUGUGUAAUCUUGGA